UACGUAGGGACCAAGCGUUGUUCGGAUUUACUGGGCGUAAAGGGCGCGUAGGCGGCGAAUCAAGUCAGUUGUGAAAUCUCCGAGCUUAACUCGGAACGGUCAACUGAUACUGUUUUGCUAGAGUACAGAAGGGGCAACCGGAAUUCUUGGUGUAGCGGUGAAAUGCGUAGAUAUCAAGAGGGACACCUGAGGUGAAGACGGGUUGCUGGGCUGAUACUGACGCUGAGGCGCGAAAGCUAGGGUAGCAAACGGG
rnacentral:rRNA from 1 species